rnacentral:lncRNA from 1 species
CUCCCCGCCUUCCGUUUUGGCCGGAGGCGUUGAUGGUGCUGCCGCAGGUGGCUUUCGCGGCGGCCGCGGCUGUGGAUCUGGCAACGGGCUGCUCGUUGUUCAAGAAGCUGGACACGAUGUAGCCAUGGUCGCCUGCGCCGCGGCGUUUGCGUGGGCCUCCAGCGUGCGCAACAGGAUCGGCCAGAUAUUCACGCUGGGGGCAACGCCUUCGUCAACUCCUGAUCGACAUAUCGUCGCGGCGCUCUUCUCUGAGAGCGAGCUCCAGGACAUGGAACAAGCAAUUACAGAUGGAUCAAGCUGUUGAGAUCCGAGCAUUUCGCAAGCUUCGUCGUCGCUGCGCAACGGCAAGGAUUUUUUUCUGAAUUUCUUUGUGCAAACAUGGAUCAUGGAUCCCAGAUCGACAGAUGUGGAUCAUUCAGAGUCCCAAACAACUGACAGCUCUAGCACACGGUCCUGCUACGGUGUUGUCUGAUCUGAAAUAUGCAGCCCGCGCAGGAACACAAGCAGAAUGUCUUUCUGUAGCAAGGCAGUCCUGCAAGGUUCUUAAAUGUGUAGAUGUCUUCAGAGAAAUAGUGCACCGGGGAGGAUCAGCCCCUUAACUGUACCUACUACUGGACUUACUGAAAUUGUAAUUAUAGACUGGAGCAUGUAAGCAAGACCAUGUAUUUUCUUCAGGAGUCCAAUCUGUUGUGCUGACUCUUGAGAUUAUACUACAUGGAGUGGGGACAAAUCUACACACCGUGCUUCUUAUGUGUCCC